rnacentral:rRNA from 1 species
CGAAUGAACAGGGAUAUGCCUAGUGUGGAAAUUGAGGUUGAUGACCUUGAAUUGUUUUCUUCAGACACUCUUCCAGCAAAGGUGCACAUGUAGAUGUUGUGGAAAAAGAUUUCGAGGAAGGUGACAUGCCUGUCUGAGUUGUGUGACCCUUUGUAUACGGGAUGUGUUUUACAAGUCACGUUCCUUGGAAUUGGAAUGCAAAGUUGGUGGUAAGUUUCACCCAAGGCUAAUUAUGAUUGUGAAACCGAUAGCAAACAAGUACCAUGAGGGAAACAUGAAAAGGACUUUGAAAAGAGGGUUAAAAGUGCUUGAAAUUGCUGAACUGGAAGCGAAGGAUGUCUGAGUGCCGAUGAUAGAUUGCUGCCGUUGCAUGCUGCUUGAUUGGUUUGCGACAUGCAAGCCUGUGCAUGGAGUUGUGCAAGGGUUGUGUUGCUGUCGUGGCGUGCUAGUGCCUUUGUGUGUUGGAGCAUGUGUGCCGAAGCAUGGAAGCUCGCUGGUUGAGUGUGUGAAUGCUUGGUCGUUGCUCAGACACAUUAAGUGUAAUGGUUUCUUUGGGAAUGUAUCAGCUUCCAUCUGUGGGGGUGGAUCCUAUUCUUGUGUGCAAGCCAUUGAAACCUAGUGAAUGGACAUCUU